GGGCAGCUCAAUGGGAACGAUUCAGGGGGUCUUCCUGGCUCCCAGCACCCCCAAGAAGAUGGCUGCCGAAAAAUCUCGCGAGAAUUGAUGAAGUCUCGCGGUGGUUCCUGGAGCCCGCUGGGAAGAGACGUAAGGUUAGCUACACCUCUACUCCACGUGGUCCUCCCCCCAGGUCCCAGGCUGAUGGAGCAGCCUCUGUCUGUUUGGGACAUUGUCAGUCAUAAUGGUGGACACAAAAGAGAUUAUGGCAAACCACGUUUUGUCUCCUACAAUUUCUGCUCACUUCUCUCCACGUUUCAUCGACCAGAGCAAGUCAUGUGACCAAGCCUGAUUCAAAAUAGACUGGAGCAAGGAGGAGCAGCAAACAUAACAUUCCCAGUUUACAGCUGAGGAAAUUAAGCUUCAAGUUGCUCAAGUGUAUAGAAUGAAUCAAUGGCAGAGGUUGAACUCAGAUGACAAAAUUGGGGUCUGGGCAUGUGCAAGGACUUUUCCGAAGUCAGCUGGAAAACUAAUGGAAGAAACAAGUUACCUGCUAUAAGACCCAGAGCCAGACUCAAUUCAGGCUUUGUUAAUUGACAGAAUGUGAUAGCUAUUUAAUUCAGGCUUUGUUAACUGACAGAAUGCAAUAGCUAUUAAAUUAAAAAUAGACAAAUAAAAUACUAAAAUUAAAAAGCU